UUAACCCCCAGUCCGGAGGCCCGCUGCUGACACACGGCCGCCCUCUGUCCCUGGAGCCACAUGUGGUGGUUGUGGUCAAUCGGCCGGCCACUCAACCUCCCCUCCCCAUCCCGGCUUUCGCUGUUCCCCUGAACCCUAACCCCAUAGUCCCAGCCCCUGUCGUCCCAGUCGUCCCCAGGACAGCAGAGGAGAGGGCAGGUCCCUCAGACCAACAGGAAGUCCAGGGACCAGAGACACCUCAGCUCCAGCCCCACGUCAGAGCACUGGUCAGAGGAGUGGUGGAUCUGUUUCCUGAUGUCCAGGAGAACUAUGUAGCAGAACUGAUCCAGACCAAUGACCUGAAAGACCUCAAUGUUAUCUGUAACAUGUUGUUGGAGAACCCAGCCUUCC